AUACGUAGGGGACGAGCGUUGUCCGGAAUUACUGGGCGUAAAGGGCGCGCAGGCGGAUAUUUAAGUCAGCUGUAAAAGGCAUGAGCCCAACUCAUGUAUGCGGUUGAAACUGGGUAUCUAGAGUGCUGGAGAGGUAGGCGGAAUUCCCGGUGUAGCGGUGCAAUGCGUAGAUAUCGGGAAGAACACCAGUGGCGAAGGGGGCUUACUGGCCAGCAACUGACGCUGAGGCGCGAAAGCCAGGGGAGCGAACGGGAUUAGACACCCCGGUAGUCCUGGCCGUAAACGAUGAAUGCUAGGUGUGGGUGUCUAGAGGCAUCCGUGCCGGAGUUAACGCGAUAAGCAUUCCGCCUGGGGAGUACGAUCGCAAGAUUGAAACUCAAAGGAAUUGACGGGG
rnacentral:rRNA from 1 species